rnacentral:rRNA from 1 species
GACGAACGUUGGCGGCGUGCUUAACACAUGCAAGUCGAACGGAAAGGCCCUGCUUUUGUGGGGUGCUCGAGUGGCGAACGGGUGAGUAACACGUGAGUAACCUGCCCUUGACUUUGGGAUAACUUCAGGAAACUGGGGCUAAUACCGGAUAGGAGCUCCUGCUGCAUGGUGGGGGUUGGAAAGUUUCGGCGGUUGGGGAUGGACUCGCGGCUUAUCAGCUUGUUGGUGGGGUAGUGGCUUACCAAGGCUUUGACGGGUAGCCGGCCUGAGAGGGUGACCGGCCACAUUGGGACUGAGAUACGGCCCAGACUCCUACGGGAGGCAGCAGUGGGGAAUAUUGCACAAUGGGCGGAAGCCUGAUGCAGCAACGCCGCGUGCGGGAUGACGGCCUUCGGGUUGUAAACCGCUUUCGCCUGUGACGAAGCGUGAGUGACGGUAAUGGGUAAAGAAGCACCGGCUAACUACGUGCCAGCAGCCGCGGUGAUACGUAGGGUGCGAGCGUUGUCCGGAUUUAUUGGGCGUAAAGGGCUCGUAGGUGGUUGAUCGCGUCGGAAGUGUAAUCUUGGGGCUUAACCCUGAGCGUGCUUUCGAUACGGGUUGACUUGAGGAAGGUAGGGGAGAAUGGAAUUCCUGGUGGAGCGGUGGAAUGCGCAGAUAUCAGGAGGAACACCAGUGGCGAAGGCGGUUCUCUGGGCCUUUCCUGACGCUGAGGAGCGAAAGCGUGGGGAGCGAACAGGCUUAGAUACCCUGGUAGUCCACGCUGUAAACGGUGGGUACUAGGUGUGGGGUCCAUUCCACGGGUUCCGUGCCGUAGCUAACGCUUUAAGUACCCCGCCUGGGGAGUACGGCCGCAAGGCUAAAACUCAGAGGAAUUGACGGGGCCCCGCACAAGCGGCGGAGCAUGCGGAUUAAUUCGAUGCAACGCGUAGAACCUUACCUGGGUUUGACAUGGAUCGGGAGUGCUCAGAGAUGGGUGUGCCUCUUUUGGGGUCGGUUCACAGGUGGUGCAUGCCUGUCGUCAGCUCGUGUCGUGAGAUGUUGGGUUAAGUCCCGCAACGAGCGCAACCCUUGUUCACUGUUGCCAGCACGUUAUGGUGGGGACUCAGUGGAGACCGCCGGGGUCAACUCGGAGGAAGGUGGGGAUGACGUCAAGUCCUCAUGCCCCUUAUGUCCAGGGCUUCACGCAUGCUACAAUGGCUGGUACAGAGAGUGGCGAGCCUGUGAGGGUGAGCGAAUCUCGGAAAGCCGGUCUCAGUUCGGAUUGGGGUCUGCAACUCGACCUCAUGAAGUCGGAGUCGCUAGUAAUCGCAGAUCAGCAACGCUGCGGUGAAUACGUUCCCGGGGCU